rnacentral:rRNA from 1 species
UACGUAGGUGGCAAGCGUUGUCCGGAAUUAUUGGGCGUAAAGCGCGCGCAGGCGGUCCUUUAAGUCUGAUGUGAAAGCCCACGGCUCAACCGUGGAGGGUCAUUGGAAACUGGGGGACUUGAGUGCAGAAGAGGAGAGUGGAAUUCCACGUGUAGCGGUGAAAUGCGUAGAGAUGUGGAGGAACACCAGUGGCGAAGGCGGCUCACUGGCCCGGUACUGACGCUGAGGCACGAAAGCGUGGGGAGCAAACAGG